GUGAUGGAACGUGUGAUGGUAAUGGUGUUAAAUGUCCUGCUGUUGGUGGUGGUUUGUGACAACGGUGGAGGUGGCGAGGAUAGUGACAGCUGAAAGCUUCGCCAAAGUUACUCCCGCUGCAAAUGGAUGACCUGGAUUGCUACCAAAUAACAGUGACAAGAUCACUACAUAAACCAAACGAAAGAAGUUGGGCACAUCAUGAGCCUGUAUUCUCCAGGCACUCUGGAAACAUACAAUUCAACGUCAGUUACAAUCAUCACAACUGACAUCAAUGGUUUUGUACAACCUUUUUUCUUGAAGGUAUGCGUUCUGCUUGUUUUAUCUUCACAGUACAAAGAUCCAUUUAAAAUCCAGUUGCACUAUAAGCUCCUAAAACAGCGGGCGUGUUGCUUUGGGACCAGAGAAGAUGGAACGUCUAGAUUCCCAUUCAAAUAGAGAACAUACAGGUAUUUAGACUUUAUUUUUAUUUUUUUCCCUUGUUACAGUCAACAUGCUCUUAGAAAAUUAAAAUGUUAAAGUUGAAUGUCUUGGUGGUUAUGCCUCUGCAUUACAACUCAAUUUCCCUCAAUAUGUAUGAAAAGGAAUCAAAAUAUGGCAUCCUUUGAGCUGACUGUCUUUGUUUAGAAUUACAAAGACCAAAACAGGCUCCAAGAUAUUUGUAGUUUUAUUACAACUAAGUCAUAAUGAAGAACUUUUGGGACACAAAUGACAAAAGAAGCGAAUGGAAGAUUAUCUACGAGAUCCAAUGACAGUACACCAUCAACCAUAUAGAAUAGAAACCAGGAUAAGGAUAGGAACAUCAACUGAACAUCAAAAAGAAGGUACCAAGGUGCAGUUAGAGUUAGAAUAACAAAACACAAACCAGUGUUUUAAACCUGGACUUAGGUCAGGACUCGCUAAGGUCCCGAAUCCAAGUCGGAGUUGGACUGAGUCAUAGAAAAACAAAGAAACCUUGAGAACCAGUAGCACUUGGCAGAUUUCCAAGGUAUUUUACUUGGAUCCAGCACUCUGCCAGGCAGUAUUCUGAGAAUUGGCCGAGGCCACUCAUCCUAGACCUAUGGGCGAGUAGGCUGUACAGCAUGUUUGCAAAGUUUAUUUAUAUUAAUAUGUCAAUUUAAGUCACAUGUGCUUGAAUGGAUCCACGAUUAGUUCUAACACAUAUAUUUUAGCAUGGUUGGGGUUCAAAUCUCACUAGCGAACAUCACUUUUUAAACACCAUCAUUUUCUUUUAUAUGAUGGGAGUUCCAAAAAAAAAUGUAGCCCCCCAAGAAUCAAACUCAAGACCUCUUGCAAAGAGGCAUAUUAUAUCGGGUGGCCUAACCAACAUGCCAUUCGCCGUUUGUUUAAAAAAGCCGGCCACUAUAUUAUAU